CCUACGGGGGGCAGCAGUGAGGAAUAUUGGUCAAUGGGCGGAAGCCUGAACCAGCCAAGUAGCGUGCAGGAUGACGGCCCUACGGGUUGUAAACUGCUUUUAUACGGGAAUAACGCGCCUUACGUGUAGGGCUUUGCAUGUACCGUAUGAAUAAGGACCGGCUAAUUCCGUGCCAGCAGCCGCGGUAAUACGGAAGGUCAGGGCGUUAUCCGGAUUUAUGGGGUUUAAAGGGAGCGUAGGCCGCAUGUCAAGCGUGCUGUGAAAUGUCCGGGCUCAACCCGGGCCUUGCAGCGCGAACUGGCGUGGUGGAGUCGGCGGAAGGCAGGCGGAAUGCGUCGUGUAGCGGGGAAAUGCUUAGAUAUGACGAAGAACCCCGAUUGCGAAGGCAGCUUGCUGCAGCGGAACUGACGCUGAUGCUCGAAAGCGCGGGUAUCGAACAGGAUUAGAUACCCUUGUAGUC
rnacentral:rRNA from 1 species